rnacentral:rRNA from 1 species
AAUGAACGCUGGCGGCAGGCCUAACACAUGCAAGUCGAACGGAUCCUUCGGGAUUAGUGGCGGACGGGUGAGUAACGCGUGGGAACAUACCCUUUGGUACGGAAUAGCCUCGGGAAACUGGGAGUAAUACCGUAUGUGGUCGAGAGACGAAAGAUUUAUCGCCAACGGAUUGGCCCGCGUUGGAUUAGGUAGUGGGUGGGGUAAUGGCCUACCAGGCCGACGAUCCAUAGCUGGUUUGAGAGGAUGAUCAGCCACACUGGGACUGAGACACGGCCCAGACUCCUACGGGAGGCAGCAGUGGGGAAUCUUAGACAAUGGGGGAAACCCUGAUCUAGCCAUGCCGCGUGAUCGAUGAAGGCCUUAGGGUUGUAAAGAUCUUUCAGGUGGGAAGAUAAUGACUGUACCACCAGAAGAAGCCCCGGCUAACUCCGUGCCAGCCGCCGCAGUAA